GACGAACGCUGGCGGCGUGCUUAACACAUGCAAGUCGUACGGUAAGGCCCUUUCGGGGGUCCACGAGUGGCGAACGGGUGAGUAACACGUGAGUAACCUGCCCACAACUUUGGGAUAACGCUAGGAAACUGGUGCUAAUACUGGAUAUGUGCCCCUGCUGCAUGGUGGGGGUUGGAAAGCUCCGGCGGUUGUGGAUGGACUCGCGGCCUAUCAGCUUGUUGGUGGGGUAGUGGCCUACCAAGGCGGCGACGGGUAGCCGGCCUGAGAGGGUGACCGGCCACAUUGAGACUGAGAUACGGCCCAGACUCCGACGGGAGGCAGAAGUGGGGAAUAUUGCACAAUGGGCGCAGGCCUGAUGCAGCAACGCCGCGUGCGGGAUGACGGCCUUCGGGUUGUAAACCGCUUUCAGCAGGGACGAAGCUUUUUGUGACGGUACCUGCAGAAGAAGCACCGGCUAACUACGUG
rnacentral:rRNA from 1 species